CUCAAGACAAGGCCAAGAGGUUUCACCUGUUCGUGACUGGGUGGUACAUCCAGCGUGAAAUGUUCAUUGGUGCUCAGUCUGUAAGUCAGCAGAGCAUUGGAACCGACAUCUGCAUCUGACGCGCCCUCUAGUGGAAACCGCGAGUCAAGCAGUCUGGACUCCGGGAUAAACAGAGUCUUUUGUGUGGAUGGAAAUAUGGGAGGGUUGUCGUUAAUGUCCCUCACCUCCACCUCCACGUGGAAAACCUGCAGCGGCCGGUCCACGAUCACCUCCAGGUGGAUGCUACACUCCGCGCUCCGCCCGCACAGCGCCUCCCGGUCGAUCCGAGAAUUCACAAACAAAAUGCCAUUCUGCAGAUUUACCUCCAGAAGGUCCCCGCGGUCCUUGGACGCCACCCUGAACAGGCGGGGCACCAGCUCCGCCAGCUCCAGCCCCAGGUCCUGAGCAAUGCGGCCCACGAAGGUGCCGUGUUUGGCCUCCUCGGGGACGGAGUAAUGGAGCUGGCUGC